UCCCCGCCCGACCCGCGGGUGCCCGAGAUCUGACUCACCGUCCCCCUCCGGGCUUAGCCGGCGGAGGUGGGGCGGGUGCCGCCGAGGUAGCCACGCAGCCCCUGUGCGCCUCCGGCCCGGCCCAGCGACCUCCUCUCGGGCCUGCCGUUACCCGGUCCCCUCCUGCCACCACCCGCUACCCGGCCACCCCGAGUCCGCCUGGGGUGGCCGAACGUAUGGAGCUGGGCUCCAGGGUGCACGGGGAUGGGGGGUGAGGAGCGGGGCGUUCUCCCUCCCAGCACCCCCCAGCUGACUCUGUGCCCGGAGGGGGUGUGUGAGCCGGAACCUCCAGCAUUCUUGGGGAUACGAACUUCCAACGCUGGGCAGCCUCUUAAGGCUUCUAGGAAUUCGCAUCCCCAGCGCCCCAGCCAGCAGAUCGGUUGCGAGAGGGACCGUUCGGGUCCGCGGGGCCGGGAAUGGAGGUGGGAGGGCGGGGCCGAGGCGGCGGCCGCCUGCGGACUGGAGACCCGGGAGGACGGACGCGGACGCGGGCUGCUCGUCUUUUACGGCCCUUCAACGCCCACCACGACCCACUCCUCUUGGAGACCCCGGGCGACGGUGGGGCUCUUGGGCAUUCUGAGACUGCGCUUGGUGGAGACCCCGGGCGACGGUGGAGCUCUUGGGCAUUCUGAGACUGCGCUUGGUGGAGCCCCCUACUGGCCAGACUGGAUUUCUCAGCCUGCGACUCAGCCCCAGGCUACACGAAAGAAGCCAGACCUGGCUUUUACUGCCUCCUGAGGCCUUCGUCUUGUUCACACUGAGUGUCCAGUCCCUCCAAAUCCGGCUACACUCUACUGGCAAGGAGCACCUGGGCCAUGUUUUAGAGAUCAUCCGAGGACUAACCCCAAAAGUUUAUGAAGAGAAAGCAGAGGCCGAGCUGAAGAGAUGGACCCGGGUCACACCCAGGUAAAGGCAGGAUCUAAACUGAAACUGGUGUCAGAUCUGGUUGCCUUGCACCCCUGAUAUCAGGUGAAGCAACACUGGGCAGGAUAGAGCAGAGUGAGGUCAGAGUGUGAAGAUCCAGCCUGAUGCCCAAACUGACGCCUCUUCAUUCUCCCCUGCUCCAUCUGUAAACGUCACGGUUAAUCCAUCUACUUUAUUGCAUUAUAUAGAGAAAUAAAUGAAAUGUCAUAGCUGUAUGCGCUAUAUGACUCAGUAUUAUUAUUCAAAUUCCAGUUCUGCCCAGAAUGAAAAUUCUGACCUGGUUACACUAAGGCGUUUUCCCCCAUAUGUCCCUUUCUGGGUUGCCAGGCAGAUCUCUCAGGGGCCUCGGUAUGUGCAAUGUCCUCUCUUUCCUUCAACCUUAUUAAGUCUUUAAUUAUACCUAGGACGACAUCUUAAUCACUUUUGCAAACCCCACUGAUCUUUUUCUCUGGCAUCUCAUUGUCUUUGUCACCACCAGUAUUUCUCACAGCCACAGGCAUGUGUGGCCAUGUAUGAUGGGUAGUACGCAGUGCACACCUCUCUGACACGCUCAAGCCAGCCCUGGGCCUGUCUCUGAAGACAUGUUAGAAAUUUGAUACUGGAUUUCCUGUGCAUGUUGGAGAUUGUGUCUUGGGCUUCACAGACCAAAAGUCUCAUCACAAAUCCUUCAAAAUAUGGCCCCUUUGGGGAAAAAAAGAUAGUUAAGAAGAUGAUUUCAAGAUAACUCAUAGGAAUAAAAGCUAUCUACCCUC
rnacentral:lncRNA from 1 species